ensembl:lncRNA
UGAAAUGGUGAAAUAGGGCUAUAUUAUAGCAUGUCGAAAAACGUGAAACAAUAAAUCAUAGCAUAGCAUAUUGAAUUAAGUCAUGGUACAGCAUGAUGAAUGAAGUCAUACUAUAGUGUGUUGAAAUGGUGAAAAGGGCUAUAGUAUAGGAUGUCGAAAAAAGUGAAGAAUUAAGUAAUAGUAUAGCAUGUUGAAUGAAGUCAUAGUAUAGCAGGUUGAAUGAAGUCAUCGUAUAGCGUGUCGAAAUGGUUAAAAAGGUGAUAUUAUAGCAUGUUCAAUGAAGUCAUAGCAUAGUGUAUCAAAAUGGUGAAGAGGGUCAUAAUAUAGCAUGUUGAAUUAAGUCAUAGUGUAGCGUGUCAUAAAAGUGAAGAAUUAAGUAAUAGUGUUACAUAGUGUCGAAAUGGUGAAAGAGGUAAUAGUAUAGCAUGUCGAAAUUGUGAAAAAUAACUCAUAGUAUUGCAUGUUGAAUUAGGUCGUAGUAUAGCGUGUUGAAAUGGUGAAAUAAUAAAUAAUAAUUAAUAAUUCUUCCCUUGGGCCUGGAGCCGGCCUCCGAGGGAGCUCAGAACAACCUCCAAAAACAAGUGCAGGGCUCAUGUGGCCGUCCAUCCAGUGAAGGCCUCGCCGUCUCCCACUCCAGAUAACAGGCAGGGGGAGUCCAGUUCCUGAGUCGGCGAUUUAACGCAAUACAACGCCUCUGGGCUCAGCUUUUGAGCAAUUUGGAGUAAACACACAAAUACUCCCACGCUCAACUGGGAAGACUUUCCAUCUGAAUUGUUCCCAGAGCUCCUCCUUUUCCUUUUA